UUAACUCGAUAAAAGUUAAAAUUGUUCGUGAUUUAACUAUAAAAUAUCAAAAAGCAUUAGUUUCGAAACACUAUUGUAAUACAAUUAUUACUAUUACAGUGUCCAUUUACUUCUAAUUCACAACGAUUAAACGAUCCGUGUGUUAUUUUUUCUUCUUCAAGUUUCUUCUAUACUCCGGUCACGGUAUAUUGUGCGGCGCAUUGUAAACAUA